rnacentral:rRNA from 1 species
AGAGUUUGAUCCUGGCUCAGAACGAACGCUGGCGGCAUGCCUAACACAUGCAAGUCGAACGAGACCUUCGGGUCUAGUGGCGCACGGGUGCGUAACGCGUGGGAACCUGCCUUUAGGUUCGGAAUAACUCAGAGAAAUUUGAGCUAAUACCGGAUAAUGUCUUCGGACCAAAGAUUUAUCGCCUUUAGAUGGGCCCGCGUUGGAUUAGCUAGUUGGUGGGGUAAAGGCCUACCAAGGCGACGAUCCAUAGCUGGUCUGAGAGGAUGAUCAGCCACACUGGGACUGAGACACGGCCCAGACUCCUACGGGAGGCAGCAGUGGGGAAUAUUGGACAAUGGGCGAAAGCCUGAUCCAGCAAUGCCGCGUGAGUGAUGAAGGCCUUAGGGUUGUAAAGCUCUUCUACCCGAGAUGAUAAUGACAGUAUCGGGAGAAUAAGCUCCGGCUAACUCCGUG